rnacentral:sRNA from 17 species
CAGCGAGAAAGCGUUGCCGCAGGCAACGACCCGAAGGGCGAAGCGCGCAGCGCUGAGUCAUCCUUCCCCCACCACCA